AGAGUUUGAUCAUGGCUCAGAACGAACGCUGGCGGCGUGGAUUAGGCAUGCAAGUCGAACGGGAUUCUAGCUGUUUCGGAAUCUAGUGGCGAAAGGGUGAGUAACACGUGGGUAAUCUGCCUUCGGUACGGGGAUAACCUUCCGAAAGGAGGGCUAAUACCCGAUAAGCUUACGAUUUCUUCGGAGAUUGUGAGAAUAGGAUAGGGACCUCGAAAGGGGCCUGUCGGCUGAAGAUGAGCCCGCGGCAUAUCAGCUAGUUGGUAGGGUAACGGCCUACCAAGGCUAUGACGUGUAGCUGGUCUGAGAGGAUGGUCAGCCACAUCGGGACUGAGACACUGCCCGGACUCCUACGGGAGGCUGCAGUCGAGGAUAUUUCGCAAUGGGGGCAACCCUGACGAAGCGACGCCGCGUGGAGGAUGAAGGUCUUCGGAUUGUAAACUCCUGUCACCAGGGACGAAAGUUUUGGGGGUAACAUCUCCAAAAUUUGACGGUACCUGGAGAGGAAGCCACGGCUAACUCUGUGCCAGCAGCCGCGGUAAGACAGAGGUGGCUAGCGUUGUUCGGAUUUACUGGGUGUAAAGGGCACGUAGGCGGCUCGGAAAGUAGGAUGUGAAAUCCUGUGGCUUAACCACAGAAUGGCAUCCUAAACUCCCGGGCUAGAGUGCGGGAGAGGAAGAUGGAAUUCCCGGUGUAAGGUGAAAUCUGUAGAUAUCGGGAGGAACACCAGUGGCGAAGGCGAUCUUCUGGCCCAUUACUGACGCUCAGUGUGCGAAAGCAGGGGGAGCAAACGGGAUUAGAUACCCUGGUAGUCCACGCCCUAAACGAUGUCUACUAGUUGUCGGGUCUUAAUUGACUUGGUAACGCAGCUAACGCGUGAAGUAGACCGCCUGGGGAGUACGGUCGCAAGAUUAAAACUCAAAGGAAUUGACGGGGACCCGCACAAGCGGUGGAUGAUGUGGAUUAAUUCGAUGCAACGCGAAAAACCUUACCUACCCUUGACAUGGAUGGAAUUCCGAAGAGAUUUGGAAGUGCUCGCAAGAGAACCAUCACACAGGUGCUGCAUGGCUGUCGUCAGCUCGUGUCGUGAGAUGUUGGGUUAAGUCCCGCAACGAGCGCAACCCUUGUCAUUAGUUGCUACGAAAGGGCACUCUAAUGAGACUGCCGGUGACAAACCGGAGGAAGGUGGGGAUGACGUCAAGUCCUCAUGGCCCUUAUGGGUAGGGCUUCACACGUCAUACAAUGGUACAUACAGAGGGCCGCCAACCCGCGAGGGGGAGCUAAUCCCAGAAAGUGUAUCGUAGUCCGGAUUGUAGUCUGCAACUCGACUACAUGAAGUUGGAAUCGCUAGUAAUCGCGGAUCAGCAUGUCGCGGUGAAUACGUUCCCGGGUCUUGUACACACCGCCCGUCACACCAUGGGAGCGGGUUUCGCCAGAAGUAGGUAGCUUAACCGCAAGGAGGGCGCUUACCACGGCGGGAUUCGUGACUGGGGUGAAGUCGUAACAAGGUAACC
rnacentral:rRNA from 1 species